rnacentral:rRNA from 1 species
UAGGGAAUCUUCCGCAAUGGGCGAAAGCCUGACGGAGCAACGCCGCGUGAGUGAUGAAGGUCUUCGGAUCGUAAAACUCUGUUAUUAGGGAAGAACAAAUGUGUAAGUAACUAUGCACGUCUUGACGGUACCUAAUCAGAAAGCCACGGCUAACUACGUGCCAGCAGCCGCGGUAAUACGUAGGUGGCAAGCGUUAUCCGGAAUUAUUGGGCGUAAAGCGCGCGUAGGCGGUUUUUUAAGUCUGAUGUGAAAGCCCACGGCUCAACCGAGGAGGGUCAUUGGAAACUGGAAAACUGGAGUGCAGAAGAGGAAAGUGGAAUUCCAUGUGUAGCGGUGAAAUGCGCAGAGAUAUGGAGGAACACCAGUGGCGAAGGCGACUUUCUGGUCUGUAACUGACGCUGAUGUGCGAAAGCGUGGGGAUCAAACAGG